rnacentral:rRNA from 1 species
UACGGGGGGGGUAAGCGUUGUUCGGAAUUACUGGGCGUAAAGAGCGUGUAGGCGGUCCGGUAAGUCAGCUGUGAAAGUCAAGGGCUCAACCCUUGAAAGCCGGUUGAUACUGUCGGGCUAGAGUCCGGAAGAGGCGAGUGGAAUUCCCGGUGUAGCGGUGAAAUGCGCAGAUAUCGGGAGGAACACCAAUGGCGAAGGCAGCUCGCUGGGACGGUACUGACGCUGAGACGCGAAAGCGUGGGGAGCAAACAGG